rnacentral:lncRNA from 1 species
UUGAGGUUGCGGGGCCCGGGCGGGGGUACGUGGCCCAGGCCCGGCCUCCUAGGGACCCGGGCUGCGCUGGGCGCGCUGGGUCGCUCGCUCUGGCGCCAGCCUCUCCCCGUGCUCCACUCCUUUCUCUCGACGAGGCUGGGCCGGCCUGCAUCACCGUGACCUCACCUCCAUUCAGGGCGCUUAUCCGGCGCCCGCCCGAGCUCCAGGCAAGGAGUCUCUGCACUGGCUUGACGCCCAUGCCCCCGGACUGCUUAGAGGUGUGCACUGGCAUUGGGAACCAGUGAGGCCAGGCUGGAAAGAAUCGGUGAAAUCGGCUAGAAGCAAAGGAAGAAGAAACAGGCAAAACACCACAGGGUGAUACCCCUGUGAAGGGCUCUGACCAGGUGGAUGGACCAGGCUGGCCACUGUUUGGAGAACAGUGGACUUUGGAGGAUGAGCAGAAGGGGACCAAGAGUUUCGAUGGGGAGAGAAGUCUCCGUGAGCUGUGAGAGCCUGGAAUCCAGUCCUCAGGGGAGAGGCCUGCAGUGAGAGGUUUUGGCCCUCAGGAGGGGGCAGAGCUCAAGGAGAAAACUGAAGUCUGCCCCAAGGCAAACCCUCAUCAGCGUGUUUCUGGAGAAAUGGUCACACUGCAGAGAAAAAGCAAGCCAGUGACCUGAGGGCCUUGGAUGUUACUAUGGAACAUCUUAGGUCUCGGUGGUGACCAUUUGGGGAGAACUACGCCUAGUACCCUUCCUUCAUGUUUUCCAAAGGGCUACACCUGGCCAGCAGAGUCAUCAGGCAGCUACAAGCACACCUGGAGGUUCUUUGCAUCCAAUUUUCAUAGGCGAUAUUGCUCAUUCAAAGGUAAAUUUCACUUGCCACUGACUUUUCUCAUUUCUGCCCUAUUUCCCUCCUGGUUUCAUCCACAAAAUGGUUCACUGUUUCUUGCUCUCAAGUGUGAGACAGGGGCUACAGCCAUAAAAGGGAAAAGAGAGCAGGUACUUCUCCUAGGAAAGCCUAUGGCUCCUGGGCCUCUGCUUGUCCAAGGUCAUUUUGAUCGGCUUAAACCACUGAAGCCGGUGCAGAAGAGAUUUCUUCCCAGCAGCCCUUUCGCCCUAAUACCGUAUUGCAUUUCAAAACAGUUGUCUUGUUCUCCUGGUCAUUUCCUAACUAGGCCUGCAAGCAGCACCCUGGCUCCUUCCCUGUCCUUGGACCUGCUCUGGCAUGAAAUGUGAUCCAAAAAGGCCCUCAGAGAAAGCCCAGCCCGCUGUCGACCUGCUUUUGUGCACCUUCCAAACAGCUCUCCUGCAGGGCAUCAGGAGCUGUUUUCCCCGUGCCAGGACCGAACUACAUUCUGACCCCACUGACCCCACUGGCUGCCCUCCCUGCCCUCAACACAGGGUACACAGCCAGCUGUGGACAAGGCACCGAUACUAAUGGCCUGUGCUAGGUAGGAAUUCUAGAAAUUCUAUUCUUUCUUUCUUCAUUUCUUUUCUUUUUUUUAUGGAGUCUCACUGAGUUGCCCAGGCUGGCCUCAAACUUACAGUCGUUCCUGCCUCACCCACCCGAAUAGUGGGAUUAUAGGGAUGCACCGUUAUGCUCAGCUUUGGCAGUGGUACAGAUUCUAAAUUCACAGGACUUCUGCCUACCUCAGCUUUCUGCUCUUGGGAUUCAGUUAGAAUAGGAGCACUGUUCAGGGAGUCGAGAUCUAGGUUCAGGACUCAGCCUGCCCUGGAGUCACUGGGGUGUGUAGCUCUUUUCACCCUCUUGAACCACUUUCUGACCCAUCUAACAACAAUAAACAGAACUGUUAGAAGUUAUACACUAACUUCUUGAUCCCUCCCAACAUUCUUUUUUUGUUUGUUUGUUUUGGUACUGGGAAUCUAACUCCCGACCUUGUGCUUGUGAGGCAGGCACCAGAACCACUGAGCUAAAUCCCUGGCCCC